UACGUAGGGUGCGAGCGUUAAUCGGAAUUACUGGGCGUAAAGCGUGCGCAGGCGGUUCGUUGUGUCGGCGGUGAAAGCCCCGGGCUCAACCUGGGAAUGGCCGUUGAAACUGGCGAACUGGAGUGUGGCAGAGGGGGGUGGAAUUCCGCGUGUAGCAGUGAAAUGCGUAGAGAUGCGGAGGAACACCGAUGGCGAAGGCAGCCCCCUGGGCUAACACUGACGCCUCAGGCACGAAAGCGUGGGGAGCAAACAGGGAUUAGAUACCCCGAGUA
rnacentral:rRNA from 1 species